CCCGCCCCGCCCCGUCACCGCCUCUUCCCUCUGCCCUGGAAGCAGAUCGGCGGCCGAAGAGGGAGGUCCCGUGCCGGCGCGGCCCCGCGCAGAGUGUGGGGUCGGGGCCCGGGACUGCGCCGCACGCAGGCAGGCGUAGGAGCCACAGACCCCGCGGUUGGAAGGUCGGCGUCGCGAGGCCCUUUCUUUCCCGCUCUCCGCGUCCUCCACCUCCCCCGGGCCUAACGCUGGGACGAGAGUUCUGUGGGGUUUUGUCUUGCUGAGAUCAGCCUGAUCUGAAGCAUGUUAGCUAAGAUAAAGGUAUGUGAAAGUGCCUGGCUCACGAGAGAUGUUCAGUAAAUCGUGGGUUCCAUUCCCUCCUGGCACCCCAGAAAGACCUUCUUGCCUAACGCGGCAGAAAUAACCUUCCCACUCUUUCCAAAUAGUCAAUGGAGUCAUGAGAAGACUCAGGGGAAAAAUGGCUUUGAACACAAAAAAUAUGGUGCAACCCUCCUAAUUUUAUAUCUGAGGAAACUGAAGUCGAGAAAGAUGAAGUGCCUUGAUUUGUCCAAGGUCCCAGUACUAGUUAGUGACAGAUGCAAAUACUGAAAGAGAAGAAAAGGAGUAAGGAAACUCAAUACUUACAUAGCAUCAGCAACAUGUGGACAUCUUGCCUGAGGCUUUAUAAACACUUAUUUCUUUUAAUUCUUGAUACCUAGCCUUUUUUACAACCUGUGCUGUCUCUCUGUCUUGCACUCAUAAACAUGAGUACACUUAUUAGUCAAUAAUCAAAAAAGCCUCAUGCUCUGAACUGGAUUAAUGCCAUUUGUUGCAGUAAGUGGCAAAUGUCCUUGGAAAACAAAUGGCAGCAAAGUGCUGAUGUUGACCAGAUGAGAAAGGAAAUGUAAAAGGGAAGUUCCAAAGAAUUGCAGCCCUGAAAAGGUGGGUAAAUAGCAACAAGACAAAAUAAUCCUCAUUUAUUAAGACAGUUCUGACUCUCUUGCUUCCCAGGAAAGUUUGAAUGGGACAUAACUGCAAAUCAGUGAAUGUGUAUAUUCACAUUUUCGGGGCUACAGUGUGUGGGUAAGAUGGAUGAAAAUUGGGACAGGGGUUAUAUCAUAUUGUCUGUUCUGAUUGCUGUUUUGCAGUUGGGGUACUAUGAGCAUCCAAAUACUGAACCAUAGGUGUAUGGCAUAUCCACUUAGGCAUAUUAAAUUGUAGAAUUAAUUGUAGAAUUAAAUAUUUAUAUCAGUGAUACGCUUUGAAGGGUUUAAGAGGAGAGGCAGAAUAGCUGUCUGCAAGCUUUGUGUGCUGGCGGGUCAUCCGGCAGUGUUAACUGAAAAGAGCGUCUGGAGGUGAGGGAAGACAAGACUGGGGGUCAGGGUAGCCACAGACUCUUGCCAAAGGAUGGACAGCCAUUGGUCGGCAGGGGCUUUUCUGUCCCCCACCUUCCCCAUCCCCUCUUAGACAUUCCUGACAUGUGACUUUUACUCCACAGGGCCAGGACUAGUACUAAAGCCUCAUCAGUGACUUUGCUGAGUGCCAUGCCCCCCUGCCAGCCUUCGUGCACCACCACCACCAGACACACACGCACACACUUCAAACUCCUCCAGGCAAGGACACCUGCUCCUUGAAACAUAGUGACACUUUAGGAGAGGUUGCAGAAGCAAAGCGAUGCCAAGAUGAAAAUGAAAUGUAUUAUUUAUUAAACACUUGCUAGAAGCCAUGCUCUGUACUAAGUAUUUUUUACAUUUAAGCCUAUGCUGUUUCCCACAUUUUACAAAUAAAGACACUUUAAUUCUGAUAAUUAAACCUAAGAUCAGCCUACUGAGAAAAGGCCUAAGUGGAGAUAUUAACUUUGGUUCUGACUGCUAAGUCCGUAAGGUCCCCUCCCAGCUGUAUCAUCCAAACACCUCCAGAUUUCACUGAACAAGAAGGGAACAAAGAAGCAGAUUAGAAUAAUGAGAGAAGAAAUCUGCAAAAGUUUUGAGUGGGAAAGAGUCUAGUGUUUCUUCUCUCCUUUUUUCUAUCUCUUUUUGAAGGAAGCUGGCAGUACUGGUUAGGCCUAGUUCUAGACUUGAAGAAGAGAGGGGAUCCUUAUUUCUUUGGGCCCCACCCUUCUGACCAGAGUAAGUAGACAGGCAAGAAGGUUGAAGAGAAGCAUAUGCAGAAAUGUGCAUUUAGCCACAGUGUCUUUGACAUUGCAUCACUUGGGAAUCUAAAUUCAAGGACACUUCGUAAAUAGAGUAAAUCUAGCCCAGGAUUGGGGCCAGAGGGAGAGAGAGAAGGUGAGCACUGCAACCCAAGGCCCGCAUUCUCAAAUCCUUCAGCCUUUUGAGAGAACAUCAACCUGGAUAUACCCAUAACCUACUCUGCUCUUUAAGUAGAAAGAAUCAUUUGGGUACUUUUUUCCUUCGCCUUUCUCUGUAAUUAAGAUUUUGGUCAUUGUGGAACGCCUGGGUGGCUCAGUCAGUUAAGCGUCUGCCUUCAGCUCAGGUCAUGAUCCCAGGGUCCUGGAAUCAAGCCCCACAUCGGUUUCCCUGCUGAGCAGGGAGCCUGCUUCUCCCUCUGCCACUCCACCUGCUUGUGCUCUCUCUCUCUCUCUCUGGCAUAUAAAUAAAUAAGUAAAUCUAUAAAAAAUUUUUUGUUCUUGGGGCACCUGGAUGGCUCAGUCGUUAAGCGUCUGCCUUCAGCUCAGGUCAUGAUCCCAGGGUCCUGGGAUCGAGCCCCGCAUCGGGCUCCCUGCCCGGCGGGAAGCCUGCUUCUCCCUCUCCCACUCCCCCUGCUUGUGUUCCCUCUCUAGCUGUCUCUCUCUCUCUGUCAAAUAAAUAAAUAAAAUCUUAAAAAAAAAAAAAAAAUUUUUUGUUCAUUGUGAAGAGGUGAAUAUGGAAACUCAGGUGAACGACCUAAGUCAUUGCUCUUCAAAAUUUUUUUAGCAGCAGUAGCUUUUUUUUAACAACAUUUUCAAUGGACCCACAAUAUUUAAAACAUAUGAUCGAUAUUAGCAUUAACCUUUAAGAUCUACUUAUGAAAAACAAACUAUUGAGAAUAAGCUACCUUAAUUGAAUCAGGUAGAUCAUAAUUAUAGUCUUACUUCAGUCACAUUUAUAUCCAUGAAAUAUGAAUCACUCCCUAGAAUACAGAAAACACUGAGCCCAGUUAAUGCAGGGCCUGGACUUUUGGUCCAAAGAAGGAAAAUGGAUAGAGUCUGGGGGAAAAAAACCUUCCCAGAGUAUAGCUGCCCUUUUCUUAUCACCUGGUAACCGGUUUCCUGUGUUAGUCAACAUUUGUAAGGCAGUAAUGGAAAAACCAAGACGCUUUGUUGUACCACCAACACUCUUCCUGUCACCAUUUUAUUUUCCAAUGACCUCCCCUCCAGAUAAGGCCUCCAUCUAGUACUUGAAGCUAGGCAGUCCAAAAUGUGACCAGCUAUUGGGGAAGUAUUUACUUUGAUAGCCACUUGACCUUGACCAAUGUAAUUGAUUCAUUUAUUGAUAAAACAUUUCUUAAAAGUGUACCGAGCCAGGCACCUUAGGGAUACAAAAAUGGGUAAGAUUUAGUUCUCACCCUUGAGAAGCUCAUCAUCCGGUAAGGUAAACAGUCAAAAGAUCCGGUGUAGAGUAUGUCCAGCAAUGUGAAUGAUUGUAGUCACUUACUGGUAAAAUCUGAAGACUAUCAAGACUACUACCUAUAAUUAAAAACCUUUCUUGCCUGUGGAUACAUCUAAAAUUCCACUAUGGGAAAUUUACUCCUAUGAAGUAAAGAAUUAUAUCCAGAGAUUGUCAGAAUGAAAAUUCCCCCAAGCAAUUAAAGAUGAUGGCUAGUAGAUUUAAACACUGAUGCCAAGUCCCUUGGACUAGAGUAACUGCCAGAAACAAUGUGUUGAGAAGGAUUCUGAGGUCAUAUUCCAGCCCAACAGGGAAAUUGAAUGCUGCCAUAAGGAAAGGAGGAAGUGGAGAAGAUAGCACUGGUGCCAUGUAUUUCCUAUCCAUGAGUAAAACUUUUGUUUCUGGAAUACUGAAGCCAGGGAUAGCCAUAGUCUCUGGGUUUCUGGGCGAAGGUCCACUUAGAAGCUGAUUUAUCUACCAUGCGACUGAGAAUUCACCACCUGUCCCCAGGCUAACCAGCCUUAAGAAGUCUAAUCUCUCUCUUGCCCUUGCCAAACUUACCUGCUUUAUCCCUCCAUGCUCACCAACAAUAGAAAUGGUAAAGGUAUGUGCAGUCUCUGAGAACUAGGAUGUGCUUUUGAUAAGGCAAAUCCCAGCAUCUCACAGGGUCAGACUGGAAGAGGCUGUUACUUCUCUACCCAGUGUCAGUCCUCCCAUCUUCCUUUUAAUGGAGCCCUCCAUUUUGUGGGGACCAGCAGUACGCCUGCCUCGGAGGUGACAGCUGGCCAUGUGACUUAAGUUUAGCCAAUGAUAUGUGAGUGGAGUCUUACAGGAAAGCUCUCUGAAGGUGUUUCCUCUUCUCUGCUUCUUGGAAUGUGGACAUGAUGGCUGGAAUUCUAAUGUGCACUUUGGAAUACCAGCUGACCUUGAAGAUGAAAGCCAUCUACAGCCAUGUCCUUGUAUGCUUGUUUUACAUGAAAGAAAUAAACUACGUUGUAUAAGCCACUGUUAUUUUGAGUUCCCAAGUAAUAUGCAGCCAAAUCUGAUCCUGAUUUGGCCAGGAUUUUAUAUUAUCCUUUGAUAGAGUCUUAUGUCUCUGUCAACAGUUUUCACUGAUUCGCCCUGAGAUAAUGGGGACUCUGACCUAGAACUGUGCAGUCAUCUUAUAUACUUGGCUCCCCAGGUAUUUUGCUAUUCCAGCAAAAUCCAGGCUGGAAUAGGAAAAUGCAGUAGGCAGGUUCUGGAGUCAAGAUUGGAUUUUGUGGCAAAAAGAAGUGGUUUCUCCAAAAGACAGAUUAGUCCCCAUGGAAAUUAAAAGAAGUAAAUGCCUGGGGCGCCUGGGUGGCUCAGCCAUUUAGCGUCUGCCUUCUGCUCAGGUCAUGAUCCCAGGGUCCUGGGAUUGAGCCCUGCAUCGGGCUCCCUGCUUGGCAGGAAGCCUGCUACUCCCUCUCCCACUCCCCCUGCUUGUGUGCCCUCUCUCGCUGUCUCUUUCUCUCUGUCAAAUAAAUAAAAUCUUAAAAAAAAAAAAAAGAAAAAAGUAAAUGCCUGAUGCAUUAUUUUAAUAUAGCACUCCUUCAGUAUUCCCAGAACUAGAACCAAAGCUUCCUAUGAGCAGGAAACUAUGAACACACCGUGGUAUUUAUGCUGAAUAUCCACCUGACCUAGGACAUUGAUUCUUUCCUGUCAAAAAGGUGUUUUGUUUUGUUUUGUUUUGUUUUCUGGACCUCUCUUCAUGACUCCUCCAUUGACUAUUUGGAAAAAGGGUAGAAAGUUGGUUUCUGUCACCUUGCAUUCUUCUGAACACAGGCAAAAAGUCUUUCUAGUCUAAAAUAGUUGGCAUUGGGGGCAUUGGUGGGGGAUUUAUUGAAUGUCUCCCGUGAGCCAGGUACUUUCACAUACCUUUAUGUUAGUUAACUGACUUCAGUUCAGACCCUAUUCCCAACAUGACAAAACCCAGCAGCAUUUUAAAAGUAAAAUAAGGAUAGUUGAUGAAUUGUGUUAAUUUAUUGCCUCUACCUUGCAUUUUUAACCUCCAAGGUACUCCAAACACUCUGCAGCUAUAAUUCAACAUUCAAAUGGCUCUGGGGUCCCCAGGAGCAGCCACGUAGAUCCUACUGAAGCAGACAAUCCUGUCACUCCCCUGCUUAAGAUUUGUCAAUAGCCUCUCACUGCCUAUAGAAUAAAAAUUCCACUCUGCCUGGCAUUCAAGCCCACCUUUUCUCCAGCUGGUCAAAACUGCUCAGAAUGCACUAUCCGGCCUGCCAUGCCAUUCCCGUCCCGCUUUACUUGUGUGACCCCAUCACCUAAACACCCUUCUUCCUCCACUGCCCAGCUCCACGUUUUUAAUCCUCAGCCUUCAAGGCCCAGCACAAGCACUGUUUUUUCUUAGUCCCUCUGCUGGAAAUCAUAAACUCACAUAGAUUUUAUCUAAAACCACUCAUCUCUUCCUACUUGUUUUUAUGAAUUAAUUUGUUUUAUCUUGCCUACUAAACUCUAACUCUGAAAGGGCACCCGUGUUUGCUUCCCUGAUUGUUCUUUGUGGCCCUUUGCCACAGUGCCUGGCAUAUAGGAUGAGCUCAAAGACUAUUUGUUACCUGAGUAAGAGUUGUGGCAAGUACCUAAACAUGCUCCCUCCCUUUUUAA